rnacentral:rRNA from 1 species
UAGCAAUACUUAGUGGCAGACGGGUGAGUAACAUGUAGGUAUCUUCCCAUUGGUGAGGAAUAACACGAGGAAACUUGUGCUAAUACCUCAUAAGUCUUUACGGAGAAAGCUUUAUGCGCCGAUGGAUGAGCCUGCACUUGAUUAGUUUGUUGGUAGGGUAAUGGCCUACCAAGACAAUGAUCAAUAGCUGAUUUGAGAGGAUGAUCAGCCACAUUGGGACUGAGACACGGCCCAAACUCCUACGGGAGGCAGCAGUAGGGAAUCUUGCACAAUGGGGGAAACCCUGAUGCAGCGAUGCCGCGUGAGUGAAGAAGGCCUUUGGGUUGUAAAGCUCUUUCGUCGGGGAAGAAAAUGACUGUACCCGAAUAAGAAGGUCCGGCUAACUUCGUGCCAGCAGCCGCGGUAAUACGAAGGGACCUAGCGUAGUUCGGAAUUACUGGGCUUAAAGAGUUCGUAGGCGGUUAAAAAAGUUGGUGGUGAAAUCCCAGAGCUUAACUCUGGAACUGCCAUCAAAACUUUUUAGCUAGAGUAUGAUAGAGGAAAGCAGAAUUUCUAGUGUAGAGGUGAAAUUCGUAGAUAUUAGAAAGAAUACCAAUUGCGAAGGCAGCUUUCUGGAUCAUUACUGACGCUGAGGAACGAAAGCAUGGGUAGCGAAGAGGAUUAGAUACCCUCGUAGUCCAUGCCGUAAACGAUGUGUGUUAGACGUUGGAAAUUUAUUUUCUGUGUCGCAGCGAAAGCAAUAAACACACCGCCUGGGGAGUACGACCGCAAGGUUAAAACUCAAAUGAAUUGACGGGGACCCGCACAAGUAGUGGAGCAUGUGGUUUAAUUCGAAGAUACGCGCAGAACCUUACCAACACUUGACAUGUUCGUCGCGACUUUAAAAGAUUAAAGUUUUCGGUUCGGCCGGACGAAA